CCACAUCACAGCUGGCUUUAUCAGGCCCCUCCUGGAGUCCAUCAGGCAUCUGAGUCCCUCAUUUCUCAGCUCGGCUUGUCUCACCCGUAUCUGUGGGGCUUGAAGCAGCUCAAGUUUUCUUCUGUUUAUUCUCUGCAAACAGAGGAGAGAGCCUCAAUUGAAAUGUACUUGGGGCAGUGACCUAAUCAAAGAAGAGAAUGAGCCGAAUGGAUGCCAGGACUGCACUGGAAUACCACCAGUUCGUUAUAAGGCCCCUUCGUGCAAACUCAAGUGUCUACAAAGAAUGCAGAGUAUUGCAAGGAGUGCAGAAGACUGAAGCAGAAGACGACCCAGGAGCAGGGCAGCAGAUGGCAAAGCGCAUCUUCCCGGCGCCCAGACACUACAGACCCGUGUAGCUCCUGCUGACUGUCGCCAGAUGGGAAUGAAAUGGUUUUUAAAGGUUCACAUGAUCAUUGCAGGGCUUUUCACGCCGCCACAUCCAGACCCAGACUUCCACAAUAACCGUCUGCCUCCUUUAUCAGCCAGCCCCAUCCUACCUGCAUUACCCAGCACCCACUCCUCACUUCAGCUGAUAUCGAAGAGCCUUCGUGAAAUGAUGCCGACCUUCCCGUCCAGCCUCACCUUCCACGUUUAUUCUAUUUGUGCCUUACUCUUCGGGUCAACACGCUUGAUUGCUUACAGGCCUCUCACCCCUCUGUCUCCUUGGAAACGCCUCCCUCCUCCACUGGUUUGGCUCCAUCCUUCAGGAAGAUGCUUGCAGACCUUCUAA
rnacentral:lncRNA from 12 species